rnacentral:rRNA from 1 species
AGUGAACGCUGGCGGCAUGCCUUACACAUGCAAGUCGAACGGCAGCACACUAUGGGCUUGUGCCGACGGGUGGAGGGGGGCGUACGGCAGCGGAACGUAUCCAGAGCUAGGGGUUAACGCAGCGAAACGUAGGGUAAUAUCCCCUAAUACCUCAUGCGGACUGCGGGGGAACGCACAGCAUCUUUGGACCUCGCGCGUUUGGAUGGGCCGAUGUCGGAUUAGCUAGUUGGCGGGGUAAAGGCCCACCAAGGCGACGAUCCGUAGCUGGUCUGAGAGGAUGACCAGCCACACUGGAACUGAGACACGGCCCAGACUCCUACGGGAGGCAGCAGUGGGGAAUAUUGGACAAUGGGCGCAAGCCUGAUCCAGCAAUGCCGCGUGGGGGAAGAAGGCCUUCGGGUUGUAAAGCGCUUUUGUCAGGAACGAAAAGGUGUACGCUAAUACCGCGCGGCAAUGACGGUACCUGAAGAAUAAGCACCGGCUAACUUCGUG